rnacentral:lncRNA from 1 species
GUCGUUCAAGUUUUACCGGUUUCAAAGAAAAUUUUCAUGUUUCGGGUGAGGCUUCAUAUUCUGUGAAGGAACUAAUCAAAGUUUUGGUUUGUGUGAAUCGUUGGAUUGUUUGGCUAAUUUUUAUUCAGGUAUGUUUGGUAGGUUUGGAGAAAAUACCCAACAAAAUCAAAAGAUACGGUUUAUGGUUUAAAUCUUACAUUGACAAAAAGAUUUUUAUGUUAUGAGUGAUGGUUAGAAUUUUAUUACGCUAAAUGUGUAAAAGGAUCUAUCCGAGGUUUUCGGAAAAAGCUGGACUGAUGGGUCAAAUAUAUAUGGUACGCCCGCGGAAGAAAGCUAAUAAAUACAAAGAUACGCGAUAUUUUUCCAGCUGGAGAACAUAAAUGCUGAUAUUGAAACGCAAUAUUUCCGGCUAAAGAACGUAAAUGGGACCUCGCUAAGCAAUAUUUUUCUAGCUAAAGAUCAUAAAUGGUCACCUCGCUACGCGAUAUUUUUCUAGCUAAAGAUCAUAAAUGAUUACCUCGCUGCGCAAUAAUUUUCCGGCUAAAGAUCAUAAAUGUUUACCUCACGACGCAUAUUUUUCAGCUAGAAGAAAAUAAAUAUCGAUAUUGCGACGCAAUUUUUCCAGCUAAAGAUCAUAAAUGUUUGCUACGCAAUAUUUUUUUUCAGCGAAAACAACAUAAAUGUUUACCUCGCUGCGCAUUAUUGUUCCAGCUAAAGAACAUAAAUGUCAAUCUUGCCGAUAAUAGAGAAAAGCAAGCCGCGAGGCUCGGCCCGGGUACACGAUAGAUGUCCCGACCCAUGAUAGAGGCAAACCUGACGGAUCUAGAAGCGGCUGGCAUGAACACAAAGCGGCAAACUGACCGUGUUUAUAUGAAUACUAAUUUCUAUCGUUGCGCACAAACUUCACCAUCAACUCCUGACUACUAACAGCAUGUAAAAUGCAAGCUUAAGGUGG